UCUCAUUUUUCUACUGCUCGUGGAUUUACGCGCACGUUGGAACCGAAGAGAGCUCUGUUGUUGCAAUGUUCAGCCCACAAGAGCUUACUGGUGAAGGAAUGGGACAAGACCCAUCUUUAUGCAAAGCCAGCGUUACAGUAAUGUUCCAGCAUCUCAUAAUCUAUCCUGGGGAAUUCAGCUGCCUCCCAGGGUGAAUACAGGUAUUCCUGAUGACAGUCUGCCUCUAUCUUACAGUAAGUUGUUUUUCGAAUUCUAUGGGCCUAUUAUCUAAUAGAUAACUUAGCCAUUUUGAUAUUUGUUACCAAAGCCUGCUUAACCCAUAAAGUUUUCUGGUUCCUCUUGUUCUCUGUAGUGAUGUUUCUAGAUAGAUGCCCACUGAUAUAUGCCCCUUUUUUCUCAGAUAGAUGCCCACUGAUCUGCCCAGGGUCAGACGAAUGCUUGUCAGUUGUAGCUUUCCAGGAUUCUGCUCCAAUGAGGAGGAAACAUCCUGCCUUACCCCUGUUUUAGCCUGGGAACCAGUAAUUGUGAACUCACCAGGGUUAACAUGAAGAGGGCAUGAGAGCUUAUUCCAUAAGGAAUUGUCUGAGACAUUUGGUUACCUUUUCUUAGUUUGUCCAUUAGCAACCGUAACUAAAAUAGUUUUGGCUGUUUGGGAUAAUUAGCUAAUUGAAUGAUUUUUUGAUUCAGGAGCAGCUUGUUGCUAUAUACCAUUGAAAAGCCUUCAGAGCUGAGAGGUUAGUUGAUAUUUUUUGUUCCUUACAGCUUAUGCCACCAAGUAGGCAGUUUCUAUGAUGAAUCAAACUAGCUCACUAUGACCGACAGUGAAAAUACAUGAACACCUGAGAAACUGGAGAACGCAGGGAGUGGGGGGUAACCAUGUCUGAGGAAUCUUUCACCCACAGCUUUGUUUUUCUCUAGGUACUACUAACCAAUAACCUGCUUGGCUCAAAGGGCCAGCACCUUCUCUCUAAAGCCCAAGAGGAGUUUGAGGUAAAUGGCUUUGCAAUAGUUACCAUCAAUGGCUGCUAUAUAAAAUUUUCUGUGAUUUUUGUGUGUGAUAGCACUGUGGUCUGGGUGAAUGUACACAGACAUAACUGGCUUAACCCAAAGUCUUUGAUCUCCUGAACCACCAGUGAUGAAUUGCUGCUCACCAGUGAUGAGUUGAAUACCGCCCCAGUCUGAUCAAUGUGUGACUGAAAGGUAUUUUCUGAGCUGUGAGCCUGCCUUCCAGUGACAUGUUCUAAAAAUUGCAAGUUAUUUGAGGAGGCUUUACAGCCAAUAGGAAGUUCUUGGGCUAAGUAGUGUUUCCUAUAAAAUGUGCCCUGAAACUUCUUUCUGCCAAGCAAUAGAUACAAUUGAGAGAUUGUAAAAUGUGACAUAGAAUGAAAGUCUCUCAAGACUACAUUUUUCUUUCUUGAUUUUGCAGGAAAACUAGGUGUCUGUGUUCACUCCAGGCUGAAGUUACAGGUCUGAGCAAAUAAGGUGUAUAAAAAAUGGAAUCUGUCUUGGAGGACAUCAGAAGGUGAAUUUUCCAAGUUCUUGGACAACCUAGCUGUUGAAAAGCUUUCUGGGUUUGGGGGGUAUUUCAGAUGUACCUUAAAGUGUUAGCAGACACAGAUUAAGACACUGGGAGCCAAUGAAACAGCAGUUGAGGGUUUGCUGUGUAUCACAUUUCUGUAUUUUAUCACCCCCUUCCUGCAACAUUAUUUAUCUGGAAUCUACCUGCCCUUUUGUUUUUUAGAUACAAGGGCUUGGUUUUGUUACCCAGGCUGGUUUCAAGGCCAUAGCUUUAAGAGAUCCUCUCACCACAGAUUUCCAAAGUGCUGGGAUUGCAGGUGUGAUUCAUGGCACCCAGACUUUGCUGCCUUUCUUACAUGAUCCAGGCCCAGAACCCAAACUCAGGCACUGUAUAGAUGACCACUUUCGUAAACUACUGACCUAGCUUGUUGCCAAUUGUUGAUUGAACUUCCCAUAACUCCACUUCGUGUCUGUUCCUCUGUAUACAGCCACCUUCUGUUCCCGUCAUGAGCCUUUAGGUCUCCAUUUGCAUAUUGCAAAUACUAUGUUCCAUGUAGGUAGCUCAUUCAGGGCCUUGCUCUUCACUUCAAAAAAGGUUCCCUUGAGGACUGGCUGUCAAUUUGUGUUGCUGUGU
ensembl:lncRNA SNHG1 small nucleolar RNA host gene 1